UACAGAGGUGGCAAGCGUUGUUCGGAAUUACUGGGCGUAAAGGGCGCGUAGGCGGUCUUUUAAGUCUUGUGUGAAAUCCCUCGGCUCAACUGAGGAACUGCACGGGAUACUGGAAGACUUGAGUUCGGGAGAGGGAAGCGGAAUUCCGGGUGUAGCGGUGAAAUGCGUAGAUAUCCGGAGGAACACCGGUGGCGAAGGCGGCCUCCUGGACCGAUUACUGACGCUGAGGCGCGAAAGCUAGGGGAGCAAACGGG
rnacentral:rRNA from 1 species